rnacentral:rRNA from 1 species
GUGUCAGCAGCCGCGGUAAUACGUAGGUGGCAAGCGUUGUCCGGAAUUAUUGGGCGUAAAGCGCGCGCAGGCGGUCUUUUAAGUCUGAUGUGAAAGCCCACGGCUCAACCGUGGAAGGUCAUUGGAAACUGGAAGACUUGAGUGCAGAAGAGAAGAGCGGAAUUCCACGUGUAGCGGUGAAAUGCGUAGAGAUGUGGAGGAACACCAGUGGCGAAGGCGGCUCUUUGGUCUGUAACUGACGCUGAGGCGCGAAAGCGUGGGGAGCAAACAGGAUUAGAAACCCCUGUAGUCC